rnacentral:rRNA from 1 species
AUGAAGGAUCAACUGCGCAUUGAGUUCCAGUCUCUUGAUUCCCGUGUUUGUUUGACCUUGAACAUGUUGACCUCUAUACAAGAACUAGGCUAUAUGUGUGUUACCACUCACUACAUUGAUGGCAAUUUCAACCUAAAGAAGAAGGUCAUAUCCUUCAAAAAAGUCAAGUAUUCGCACACAAGUGCAGCCAUUGAAGAGACUUUGUGCAAGUGUUUGAAUGAAUGGGGCAUCAAAAGGAAAUUGUUUACUUUGACCUUGGACAAUGCAGCAAACAACAAACCAGCAGUUGACUCGUUUGUGCAACAUCAAGACCACGGCAUGUUGUUUGGUGGUGUGGAUUUUCAUGUAAGGUGUUCGGCACACAUCCUUAAUAUCUUAGUUCAAGAUGGAACAAGAUAUGUGCACAAGCCCAUAGAAAAAAUCCGUGAACUUUUAAGGCAUAUCGCUUCUUCCCCAUCAAGAAUUCAAUCCUUCAAUGCGAUUGCCACAAAUUUGGAUCUUCCUGAAAAGGCUGGUGGCAUAAAUCUUGAUAUUCCAAACCGUUGGAACUCUACAUAUCUAAUGAUUGAAGAAGCUCUGGAAUAUGAGGGAGCCCUCAAUAAUUAUGCAAGUGGAAAUGGUGAAAUAGCACCGGACGAUGUGGAGUGGACUAAUGCUGAAGUAAUGUGCACAUUCUAA